UUCCAGUGACUCCAAUUUGCCAAACCUGCAAUCAAAGUACAAGAUAUGGUGGUAAUAAAAGGAAAAUAGCUCUCGGUAUUUAGUGUUUGGUUGUUGAUGAUGGUCCGUAUUUGAAACAACAGUGUUGUGCAGACUGACAAAUCCUAGAAGAAACAGAUAGAACUCACCAAGCUAUUCUUGCAAGGCCUUGCUCAUGGGAACCAGGAAUCCACCACACUGAUUGGAACCAGUUACAUAAAAGCUAGAUAACACAACAGGUUGAGAAGCAGCACUGCUGCUUCUGCUGUGGACACAAAAAGUAACAGGCAUGGCAAUCGAAAAAAGCAUGCCGUUGGGGAAAAGGAAUUAUCACUUACCUUUCUUUUGUUAUUUGAAAUCCAGAAUUC